rnacentral:tRNA from 1 species
CAGAAGAUAGUUUAAAUAAAAUAAUAGUUUUGGGUACUAUAGAUAGCUUAUUCCUUUUUCUGA